AUUGAACGCUGGCGGCAGGCCUAACACAUGCAAGUCGAACGAGUGGCGGACGGGUGAGUAAUGUCUGGGAAACUGCCCGAUGGAGGGGGAUAACUACUGGAACCGGUAGCUAAUACCGCAUACCAUCGGAUGUUCCCAGAUGGGAUGAGCUAUUGGGUGGGGUAACGGCUCACCUAGGCGACGAUCCCUAGCUGUUCUGAGAGGAUGACCAGCCACACUGGAAAUGAGACACGAUCCAGAAUCCUACGGUAGGCAGCAGUGGGGACUAUUGCACAUUGGGCGCAAGCCUGAUGCAGCCAUGCCGCGUGUAGGAAGAAGGCCUUCGGGUUGUAAAGUACUUUCAGCGGGGAGGCGUUACGCGCAGAAGAAUCACCGGCUAACUCCGUGCCAGCAGCCGCGGUAAUAC
rnacentral:rRNA from 1 species